rnacentral:rRNA from 1 species
ACGAACGCUGGCGGCGUGCUUCACACAUGCCAGUCGAACGGAAAGGCCCUGCUUUUGUGGGGUGCUCGAGUGGCGAACGGGUGAGUAACACGUGAGUAACCUGCCCUUGACUUUGGGAUAACUUCAGGAAACUGGGGCUAAUACCGGAUAGGAGCUCCUGCUGCAUGGUGGGGGUUGGAAAGUUUCGGCGGUUGGGGAUGGACUCGCGGCUUAUCAGCUUGUUGGUGAGGUAGUGGCUUACCAAGGCUUUGACGGGUAGCCGGCCUGAGAGGGUGACCGGCCACAUUGGGACUGAGAUACGGCCCAGACUCCUACGGGAGGCAGCAGUGGGGAAUAUUGCACAAUGGGCGGAAGCCUGAUGCAGCAACGCCGCGUGCGGGAUGACGGCCCUCGGGUUGUAAACCGCUUUCGCCUGUGACGAAGCGUGAGUGACGGUAAUGGGUAAAGAAGCACCGGCUAACUACGUG